UACGGAGGGUGCAAGCGUUAUCCGGAUUCACUGGGUUUAAAGGGUGCGUAGGAGGGCAGGUAAGUCCGUGGUGAAAUCUCUGAGCUUAACUCAGAAACUGCCGUGGAUACUCUCUGUCUUGAAUAUCGUGGAGGUGAGCGGAAUAUGUCAUGUAGCGGUGAAAUGCUUAGAUAUGACAUAGAACACCAAUUGCGAAGGCAGCUCGCUACACGAAUAUUGACUCUGAGGCACGAAAGCGUGGGGAUCAAAC
rnacentral:rRNA from 1 species